rnacentral:rRNA from 1 species
CGGAUCUCGAAAGCCUGUCCCAGUUCGGACUGGAGUCUGCAACCCGACUCCACGAAGUUGGAUUCGCUAGUAAUCGCGCAUCAGCCAUGGCGCGGUGAAUACGUUCCCGGGCCUUGUACACACCGCCCGUCAAGCCAUGGGAGCCGGGGGCGCCUGAAGUCCGGGACCGCGAGGACCGGCCUAGGGCGAAACUGGUAACUGGGGCUAAGUCGUAACAAGGUAGC